CCAAAGGCUCUUCUAAGAGCCACCCACUUUCUCCGUCCGAAGAGCU
rfam:Aptenodytes forsteri contig10761, whole genome shotgun sequence.